CCCUGUCGCAAGCCUCAAGCAACUAUUUUGUUUGGAGUUGUUUCCCCUGCCGAACAUUCUUCAAAUCAGUCACAUUUGUUUAUACUUCUGCACGAAUUUCUGGCUGCGUUUUCAGUAUUUGCCACAUGUCAUCAUUGUCAUGAGUGAGGACCUUUUUCUGUCUGAUUCCGACUCGGAGCUGCACAUUGAGUCUUCUAUUACAGAAGAGGACUUGGAGUAGAAAGAAGAGAGUAUCCAUCAAGCCCGGAUUUCAGGAAGCGACAAAAAGCGAAAUUCCUGCAGUACCAGUAGAUAUUUAAUAUGCGGUCUGACAUAAAGUUUCCUGAAUACCCGACAUGGUAUAAUGUGAAAUGUUCGGGUGAUCAGGCGAUCUACACCUACAAGUUAAUGGACAAUUACAAAGAAAAUAUUUAGAAACUGAUACAGUUUUAGCUUGUUAAAUAACAUGUUAAAUGCAAUUGUAAGCAUUGGGUACUAUAUGCACAAAUAUCCUUCAAUACAUGUGUGGGAGUACGAUAGUGUGUUUAUUGUCAAAAACUGACAGACAAUCCGAUUUUUGAAAUAUCAAUAUCUUGCUUAUUUGGCAACAAUGUUUUAAUCAAAUAAAGAGUUUUAAUUUUGUUCAAGUGUUUUUUUAAAGAAUAUGUAUAAGUAUCCCAGAUUUUUUAAAAUUUUAUAAAAUGAGUUGUCCUGGCUUAUUAAGGUAAGCGUGUCGGAAACCUGUGUUUUUCCGGUUCGAAUGUUUGCACGUUAAUUUACAUAAACUGUAUUCAUACGCGUCUUAAAAACUAUGGCGUACCGUUUUUGUCAUUGUUUUGUCAGUUUUGUUAAAGUAAACAAUACAAUUGUUAACGGUUUUCUUAGUUGUUGUAUAUAAUAAAAGGACUAUUACGCUAGUCAAUUGUUUCAAGAGUUUGUAUCACUCUCGUGGCUUGUGCUAUUUCGCAUCACACUCGAGGCUCCGCCUCUCGUGUGAUACGUCAUCACACAAGCCACUCGAGUGAUACAAACUCUUGGAACAAUUGACUAGCGAAAUAUUCCAUAUUUAGCAUUACGUUAUUUCACUCCCGGAGCGUAGAUCAUGUUAUAAAAUGUUGUAUUCAUUAUUAGCUUGAAGAAUAUUUAUUUAUUUCAGAUCAGUUAAAAGUUCCUACAAUCUACUUCCAUGCACGCUUUCCUUCUCAUACAACUAUACAACAAUACCAGGAUGUAGUCUUCCCGACAGUGGAGGUCAACGAAGGUCAAUGUUAUAAUCCUGCAACUGGAAUGUUUACUGCCUCUGUCUCUGGAAUGUAUCUGUUCUCGGUUCAAUAUUGUAAUUCAUAUAAGACAAAUGCUUAUUUUGAAAUCGUUCACCAAAGCAAGACAAUACAAAGGUCCUCAUACUAUGAACAGAGUGGACAUUAUCCUUGUGUUACUAUGCAGGCAUCUACGUGGGUUGCCAUGGGAGACCGGAUCUGGGUGCGUGCAACAUCGACGAGUACGUUGUAUACAGAUGGACACAGAUAUAAUUCGUUUUCGGGCACAUUGAUUCAUGUUUAACAAAUAUCGGUUGCCAUGGGAGACCGGAUCUCGGUGCGUUCCACACAUGGGAGCACGUUGUAUACAGAUUCAGAGAAAUAUAGCUCAUUUUCGGGCACGUUGAUUCAUCUUUAACAAGCAUAUACAGAACAUACAAUGUAUUGAUGUCGGCAGAAUCGCAUUUGUAUGUACAUCUAUAUAAUAAUAUAUAUAUAUAUAUAACAUUAUUACUAAAAUUUACAUAAAAUAUUGGCAAAAAUGCAUACUGUUAUACCUGUAAUUGUAUCAUAAACUUCUACAUACGUCUAAUAUUUAAAAGCAGAUGACGUCACUUUUAUAUUAUUAUCACUGAAAAAUUAUAAGUAGGAAUUAA